rnacentral:rRNA from 1 species
UACGGAGGGUGCAAGCGUUAAUCGGAAUUACUGGGCGUAAAGCGCGCGAGGUGGUUUUGAUAAGCGAGAUGUGAAAGCCCCGGGCUUAACCUGGGAACGGCAUUUCGAACUGUCAGGCUAGAGUAUGGUAGAGGAGUGUGGAAUUUUCCUGUGUAGCGGUGAAAUGCGUAGAUAUAGGAAGGAACACCAGUGGCGAAGGCGGCACUCUGGACCAAUACUGACACUGAGGUGCGAAAAGCGUGGGGAGCAAACAGGAUUAGAUACCCCGGUAGUCC